UCUCCCGUCAUUGUAUUUUGAACAACUUCAAGGUAGAAAGCAAAAAUUGGGCAGUAAAUCCAAAUUGAAGCGAAUUUCAAGCAUUUUUUUCUGGAAAUAUCAAGAGCAUAAAGGAUCAAUUACAAAAUGGAUGGAAUUACCAAACGUUCGACCAACGAAACCCAUCAGGAACCGAUGGACGCGGGACGCCGUCGACGCGGCAACAGAUCUCGAUCGAGGUCCCGUUCCCGACAAGGGAUGGUCCGUAGAAGCAGCCGUACUCGCAGGAGUCGUUCCCGUAGCCGUUCUCGCAGCAGACGUAGAUAGAGUUGAAAUCUUUAACGGUGAUGUAGGGACAUCGAGUUUUCGAAGUUGGGUGUGAAUAAAAAUUUCAUGAAAAGUUAAGAAA